CCUACGGUAGGCAGCAGUGGGGAAUAUUGGACAAUGGGCGAAAGCCUGAUCCAGCCAUGCCGCGUGUGUGAAGAAGGCCUUCGGGUUGUAAAGCACUUUCAGUGGGGAAGAAAGCCUUGGGGCUAAUACCCUCGAGGAAGGACAUCACCCACAGAAGAAGCACCGGCUAACUCCGUGCCAGCAGCCGCGGUAAUACGGAGGGUGCGAGCGUUAAUCGGAAUUACUGGGCGUAAAGGGCGCGUAGGCGGUCUGAUAAGCCGGUUGUGAAAGCCCCGGGCUCAACCUGGGAACGGCAUCCGGAACUGUCAGGCUAGAGUGCAGGAGAGGAAGGUAGAAUGAGCGGUGGAGCGGUGAAAUGAGUAGAGAUCGGGAGGAAUACCAGUGGCGAAGGCGGCCUACUAGACUGACACUGACGCUGAGGUGCGAAAGCGUGGGUAGCAAACAGGAUUAGAUACCCGAGUAGUC
rnacentral:rRNA from 1 species